rnacentral:rRNA from 1 species
AUGGUGUUGCUUGACAUUAGGGGUAUGUUGCAGUCCAUGGGUAAAGACAUUGUUGAUUUCGCUCUUCCAAGCAUAGAUGAUGCGUUUGACCCAACCAAGGGCGAGGCAAGAGAGGUCAUCGAGGAAUCAACCGUUGAGUUUGACGUGGAUGACACUAAAUUGGCAUCUUCCCUGAACUUGGAGCAGAGGGCCGCAUACGACGAGAUACUAGGGGCUGUUGAGCGCGGUGAUGGGGGUGUAUUCUUUGUUGAUGGCCCUGGAGGUACAUGGAAGACCUUCCUAUACAGGGCGAUGCUUGCCAAGGUGAGCAGCGAGGGCAAGAUUGGUAUCGCUACCGCGACGUCGGGCGUCGCCGCUUCUAUCAUGCCUGGCGGCAGGACUGCCCACUCGAGGUUCAAGAUCCCAUUG